CUUCGCUCGAAUUUAAUGAAAUUAAUGUAUACUCUUAAACUAACUCUUAUUUAACUAGAUGUUUAUUUUGUUUUUUCAAAUAAUAAUUUUACUUAAACUAGUUAAACAGUUUGGUUAACUUGACCAGCUUUGGUUAUCCGAUUCACAAUAUCGCUAAUAUUAUUUCAAUGAUAGUAAUUAUAGACACGGUUAAGUGUUUACACUGUUUGUUCAGGCCUGAUAGGAACUGCUUCAACGAAGUCGGUGUACUCGAUUCUUAAAUUGGGAACAAAUCAGAUGAAGGCCGCACAAACGUAUGCACAAAAUAUACUAUCUUUGAGAUUCGAUUUUCAUUAUGGAAAUUUCCGAUUAUAUUAUAUGUUAUAAUGUCGGAAAAUGUCCAUUAACAACGGAUCAUAAUUACGAAAAACUAGAAGAGGUACGCCAUAAACAUUUUAGGAAAUAUGAGUAACACCGACGUCCCCCGAAUGAAUGUCUUGAUUUUUGAAAUCCGAAAUUCGCAGUCGGUGAAAAACCGCGAUAGGCUUAGAUAGAAAGCGGCCAAUAACGGAAAAAAAUAAAAAUUGCUUUAAUAUUAAGCGUAUGCGAGCAUAUUGUUUUCACGACCGUGGGAUUCGGACCCGACGGUAUAUUGUUCAGAUGGACGCCGUUAAUCCGUUUAAACACUCGGACGGCCGUAAGUAAUACGUAUUUAAUAAUGUUUGAAACGAAAAACGUAUUACUAUAUGGCCAGUUAGAG